UUGCUUCAACUUAAUUGCAGUGUAUUGAACUUGUCUUCUAGGACUUUCUGGGCAUUUCCCAAUUCUCUCUUCCCUUCAAAUAUUCCCAAUUCAGAACCACCUUCUCUCCUUCCAUGGCCACCACCCCAAUCCAAGAAAGGUGCAGGCUUUGCUGGAAUGGUGGGAGCCAAUGACCUGUUGAUUGUUGGGCCGGGAGUACUUGGGCGAUUAGUUGCAGAGAAAUGGCGGCAGGAGCAUCCGGGUUGUGAAAUAUACGGGUAAAC
rnacentral:lncRNA from 1 species